GGGAAUAUUGGACAAUGGGGGGAACCCUGAUCCAGCCAUGUCGCGUGUGUGAAGAAGGCCUUUUGGUUGUAAAGCACUUUAAGCGAGGAGGAGGCGCUUCUAGUUAAUACCUAGGAUGAGUGGACGUUACUCGCAGAAUAAGCACCGCCUAAAUCUGUGCCAGCAGCCGCGGUAAUACAGAGGGUGCGAGCGUUAAUCGGAUUUACUGGGCGUAAAGCGUACGUAGGCGGCUUUUUAAGUCGGAUGUGAAAUCCCUGAGCUUAACUUAGGAAUUGCAUUCGAUACUGGGAAGCUAGAGUAUGGGAGAGGAUGGUAGAAUUCCAGGUGUAGCGGUGAAAUGCGUAGAGAUCUGGAGGAAUACCGAUGGCGAAGGCAGCCAUCUGGCCUAAUACUGACGCUGAGGUACGAAAGCAUGGGGAGCAA
rnacentral:rRNA from 1 species